rnacentral:lncRNA from 1 species
AUGGGCAGACUGAGGGGGGCCUGGCGCGCUCCGCCGUGGUUCCGAGUGGGGGUUGGAGACUGUGUUGUGGGUCCGGGAAGAAGGGAGCGUGGAAAGGUGCCGGGUUCUCGGACGCUCUUUCUGUCCACCGCCACCCUCCUCCCCGUUCUGAGAGUGGGAUUAAGUCGUGUCUGUGGGUCUGGCCGUCUCCGGAGUCUGCCGCUUGGGGCUGAUUCCUCGGUGUCUACCUCCUGUUGCAGGUCCUUAAUAAUUCAACAGAGACAUGAUAACUUUUUUGGAUGGAUCAAUACUUCUUGCCAGUCAGCAUAUACACACCCAGUGACCUUGCAUGAAGAAACAUCCUGUCUGCAGAAGAUUGUGUCUCAUCUACACCAAGCAGGAGUGGUGUUGUCAGUGUGUGUGCACGCAUUUAUGUAUCUGUAUGCUUGUGCAGAGAGGGGAAGAUGGGGGAGGGGAUGUGGGUUUGUUACUUAGCUUGCUUGAUUUUUAUCCACAGUUUUUAAGAGGUAAAAUAUUGUAGCUCAACCCCUAGAAGUGGUCGUUAGCUUUACAGAGAGGAAAAUCUCUGUCACAUGACCAUGGCUUGCACUUCCAGCCCCAAAAGGCAAAAAGAGGGAGCACGUAACUCAGUGGAAUCAAUAGCAUGACCAGAAAGUCAAUUCAGUCAUAUGAUGGUGGAUCAGUAUCUUCACUCUAAAGGAGAGGAGAUCACUGUUACUGUUAGAUGUGCCACUCUGACUUUCCCCCAUCACUGUGGAAAAAGGAGGGAAAAAAACCCUCAAUCAUAAUAGGAAAGGUAAACAGUUUUUUGAACUGACAAACGUAUGUACAUGUCUUCCUCUGUAUUAUUUUAUAUAUGUUGUUUUUAUGUAUGUACCAGUACAAAGAGAUGUAAAUAUCACUUAACCUUGAGUAAUAUAAUAGUAUGUGUGAAUUCUAAUUAAUAGGUUUUAAUUCCAUUAAGUAUUAAUAAUUAACGGUAACUUCAUUGAGUGUGAGAAUUCCACAAGUUUGCGUUAGAAUUCUGAAUGACAUUUUGUUUUUGCUUUACUGGGUUUUGAUAUGUCAGACAAGAGAAUUCAACUUUUCUCCUGUGUGAAUGAAUUCAAUAGUCUGUUGUGAGAGAUGCCAGUUUUCAGGUUGCAUCCACCAUUUUUAUUUUUAGCUCCAUCUGUUGUCUUUUAUCAAGUCGCUAUUAAAACUCUGAUAAAAUACUUGGUUUGUGGCAUUGAUAUUGUCCCCACCAGCUUCCCUAAAAUGAGCGCUCCAAUUCUAGUCCCCAAACAUGUUCUUAUGCUCCCCAGCAUUGCAUGGGUAUACUAGUCUACUAUCAGAAAGAGCCUAUUUUUAUUUGAGGCCAGUUCAUGGACAUGUCAGAGUCUCAGAGUCCUAACAGUUUUCAGUGGGGCUUUUUCUAGAACAUAUGGAUGGAAUUUGUCUCCAGUUGACAUCCAAAAGUCUCGUCUUCCUGGAUUUCCUUCCUCCUCUUGCCCCCUCUGCCCUUUCCCACUACCCCAGUUCCUAGCAUCUCCCUGACCCUUGGGUUAGAGCCCAGGGAGAAGCACCACCGAAUCCAACCUGGGAAAAUGACAGGAAGUACGUGCAUUCUUAAAAGUGGGGCACUUGCUGUUAUUGAUCAUCUAUUUUAACAUAACUUGGAUGCAGUAGUAUUAAUUUGUAUAUUAAUAUUUUAUUUAAUAAUAAUAAUUGAGGCUGCCCUCUAUAUCAGAGGUAAGCAUAUACAGUACAGCCUGCUCUUUAAUUCCUUUUUCCUCACCUUACUCAAUUUUCUGUUGAUUAAAUGUUAGACUGAGAAUAAAAGUGUACUUGUUAGAUUUGGCUACUUAUUGUAAGCUGCAAUUUUGGCUAGGCAUAGCGUGGCUCAUACCUGUAAUCUCAGCACAUUGAAAGGCCGAGGUGGGAGGAUGGCUUGAGACCAGGAGUUUGGGACCAGCCUGGGCAACAUAGCAAGACCCCGUCUCUACAAAAACUAAAAAAUAAAAAAACGAAAAGAAAGCUGCAGUUUAAAUGUGACUCUAAUCACACUAUUAAACAGUGUACGUUCUUGUAACUAAUACAGAAGUUUGAUUCAUGACAAAUUUAGUUAUUAAUAAAUGAGGCCUCAAUAUGGUAUUCAAAGAAAAUACUUGUGGAAUGAAAGACAUCUUUUGUGACUAUACAGUGAGGGAAGUCUCAAAGUCUGUUACUUCUUUAUAGUUCUCUCUCCAACAAAAUAUUAUCUCUGUGGAUGACAGAUCUUCAAUAUCUUGCUCUUACCUAUCUUUAUUAUCUUUAUCCCAAUUGGUUUCAGUUUCCCUCCUCUGCAAGCAAUUGUCUUUAUUUCGUCAUUCAGAUAGACUGAGCCUUUCGAAAGCCGUUGGAUCAACAGGAGCCAGAAAAUUAUAUAUGCACGCUGUAUGUUUAAUACUGGUGUGCAAUCUGAUUACUGUAAGCACAAUGUUUUUUAAAAAAUCUGUUCAAACAGAGUUUAUACGAAUAGCCACCUUUGUUCUCUCAGGCUUACCCGAGUGGAAAAAAUCCUUUUGAGGCUAUAAAAGAACUUGUGGUACAAUAUUGAUUAAUCAGUAAUGCAAAUUAGCUUUGAGUUUACCAUUCAAAUGUGGAAAAAUAUCUUUGAAUAAAAAAGUGAGACCCUCACUUCUGGCUCUGUGCUUCUUUCAGUGGUAGAUUCUCUCAGACAUACCUCCCUCAUAAUGAUGAUGAGGA